GGUAACAAGGUCUCCGUUGGUGAACCAGCGGAGGGAUCAUUA
rnacentral:rRNA from 1 species